rnacentral:rRNA from 1 species
GAUGAACGCUAGCUACAGGCUUAACACAUGCAAGUCGAGGGGCAGCAUGAACUUAGCUUGCUAAGUUUGAUGGCGACCGGCGCACGGGUGAGUAACACGUAUCCAACCUGCCGAUGACUCGGGGAUAGCCUUUCGAAAGAAAGAUUAAUACCCGAUGGCAUAGUUCUUCCGCAUGGUAGAACUAUUAAAGAAUUUCGGUCAUCGAUGGGGAUGCGUUCCAUUAGGUUGUUGGCGGGGUAACGGCCCACCAAGCCUUCGAUGGAUAGGGGUUCUGAGAGGAAGGUCCCCCACAUUGGAACUGAGACACGGUCCAAACUCCUACGGGAGGCAGCAGUGAGGAAGAUUGGUCAAUGGACGAGAGUCUGAACCAGCCAAGUAGCGUGAAGGAUGACUGCCCUAUGGGUUGUAAACUUCUUUUAUACGGGAAUAAAGUGAGGCACGUGUGCCUUUUUGUAUGUACCGGAUGAAUAAGGAUCGGCUAACUCCGUG